rnacentral:lncRNA from 1 species
AUCUCAACCAUCAGAUCACGUCGAUAAGCAAUUGUGACCAUCCGAUCAUGCAAAUUCACAUGUGGAUCAUGCAUAGACCGCAUGUGGACCACGUGAGGCACACAGUGGACCGCACCUCACCCUCUCUCUUGCACCAUGCGGUGGUCCGUGCAUCCCAUACAUGCUGGGCCGUGCGCACCUGUAGGCCAUGCACACUACAGGCCGCAGGUGCCAGUGGGACUAGGUGCC